UCCAUAAAAGUUUAAAAAAGAAAAACAAGCUUUCUCAAUUGAAAUGUCAAUUCAAAUGAGAAAGCUUCCUGGAGGGGAAGCGACACGUCUUCAAAUCUUAGAAACCAAGUCCAGUGGAUUGUUUUUUUUUUUUUACUUUUACGGAAUGACUAUGACCUGGAUGACUGAGAAUCUUUAUCAGCAGUAUUUUAAACUCUGAUAAAAGUCGCUCCUCCUUGGACUCUCUGCUACGUCUCUCUACAGCAGAGUAUCACAUGCUCUGCUGCAUGAAAAAAACAAGGAUGUCAUAAUCCACCUGUGACACUUCCUGUAUUUUAUUUAUAUUAUUGGUUCCACUGU